rnacentral:rRNA from 1 species
AGCAGCCGCGGUAAUUCCAGCUCCAAUAGCGUAUAUUAAAGUUGUUGCAGUUAAAAAGCUCGUAGUUGAAUUUCGGGGUCAGUAGGUCGGUCGUGCCACUGGUAUGAACUGGUCUCACUGAUUCCUCCCUCUUGUAGAACCGUGAUGCCAUUAAUUUGGUGUUGCGGGGAAACAGGACUGUUACUUUGAAAAAUUAGAGUGUUUAAAGCAAGCUAACGCUUGAAUACAUUAGCAUGGAAUAAUGAAAUAGGACGUCUGUAUUAUUUUGUUGGUUUCUAGGAUGGACGUAAUGAUUAAUAGGGAUAGUUGGGGGCAUUAGUAUUCAAUUGUCAGAGGUGAAAUUCUUGGAUUUAUUGAAGACUAACUACUGCGAAAGCAUUUGCCAAGGAUGUUUUCAUUAAUCAAGAACGAAAGUUAGGGGAUCGAAGACGAUCAGAUACCGUCGUAGUCUUAACCAUAAACUAUGCCGACUAGGGAUCGGAUGAUGUUAAUUUUUAAUGUACUUCAUUCGGCGUCCUUA